rnacentral:rRNA from 1 species
AUUGAACGCUGGCGGAAUGCUUUACACAUGCAAGUCGAACGGUAACAGGUCUGCGGAUGCUGACGAGUGGCGCACGGGUGAGUAAUAUAGCGGAACGGGCCCAGACGAGGGGGAUAACGUCGCGAAAGUGACGCUAAUACCGCAUACGAGCGAGGGAUGAACGCAGGAGAUCGCAAGACCUCGGCCGAAUGGAGCGGCCGAUAUGCGAUUAGGUAGUUGGUGGGGUGAAGGCUCACCAAGCCAACAAUCUGUAGCUGGUCUGAGGGGAUGACCAGCCACACUGGAACUGAGACACGGUCGCGAGUCCGACGGGAGGCAGCAGUCGAGAAUUUUGGACGAUGGACGAAAGUCUGAUCCUGCCAUUCCGCGUGCAGGAUGAAGGCCCUCGGGUUGUAGACUGCUGUUGUACGGAGCGAAAAGGUCUCCCCUAAUACGAGAGGCUCAUGACGGUACCGUAAGAAUAAGCACCGGCUAACUACGUGCCAGCCGCCGCAGUAACAC